CCCAGCUCCCCAGCUUUACCAGGGAGCUUGCCCUCUAGGACAAGUGCCUUGCACAGCUGAGGGUGGUCAGAGUAUUUAAAACCUGGAGGAAGCACCUCCUUCUUACUGCAGAAAGUUGUGUGGGAAAGAGAGAUUGCUCUCUUAGAAGAGGGAAGUCAGCAAGAGAUUGUAUGGACUGUUUUUUUUGGCUGGCUUGGCUCAUGGUGCUAUUGAAGCAAGAAGAUGAAGCAGCGUCCUGUGAAACAGCAGAGGUGGGAGCAGGUCUGUGAUGACUUACCUUGCAGUGGAGCCUUUCGAGUUGUCAUUUUUCACUAGCAAGUGUAUCCUCCACUGAAUCUUAGAUUUUAUGUCAGCGUGUACGUGAACAAAUAUUUUUCAUCUAAGCUGCCAAAUGGGAUAGAUGCAUGUAGUGCAUUAUUAGCUCUUAACUUCUGCCACAUACAACAGUAACCAGCCACUUUGAGUUGACAGUAGGAUUGCAGUAUUGACUCCCUCCUCCCAGUAUUUUUCUCCAUAGCACUCAGUGGGAGUUAUCAAAUUUGGAGUUACCCUUUUUCUAGAGCAAAGAUGACCGUGAAUCACAAGGCAGAGAGUCUUCAGUUACACUUUGUUAAUCAAGUGCUUAUGGGUAGUUUUGUAUCGAUAUAUUUUUUCCUUUAGAAAGUUCAGUUUCUGCAAGCUAAAGAGAAAGAAUCAGGCCUUCCAAAAAUUUGUUGGCUUUUUGUUUGUUUUGUUGGUUGGGUUUGAUUAUUU
rnacentral:lncRNA from 1 species